CCUACGGGUGGCAGCAGUGGGGAAUAUUGCACAAUGGGGGAAACCCUGAUGCAGCGACGCCGCGUGAGUGAAGAAGUAAUUCGUUAUGUAAAGCUCUAUCAGCAGGGAAGAAAAUGACGGUACCUGAGUAAGAAGCCCCGGCUAAUUACGUGCCAGCAGCCGCGGUAAUACGUAGGGGGCAAGCGUCAUCCGGAUUUACUGGGUGGAAAGGGAGCGUAGACGGCAGUGCAAGUCUGGAGUGAAAGGCGGGGGCUCAACCCCCGGACUGCUCGGGAAACUGUCCGGCUGGAGUGCAGGAGAGGUAAGUGGAAUUCCUAGUGUAGCGGUGAAAUGCGUAGAUAUUAGGAGGAACACCAGUGGCGAAGGCGGCUUACUGGACUGUAACUGACGUUGAGGCUCGAAAGCGUGGGGAGCAAACAGGAUUAGAUACCCCUGUAGUC
rnacentral:rRNA from 1 species